rnacentral:ncRNA from 1 species
UGAAAAGGACUUUGAAAAGAGAGUCAAAGAGUGCUUGAAAUUGCCGGGAGGGAAGCGGAUGGGGGCCGGCGAUGCGCCCCGGCCGUAUGCGGAACGGCUCUUGCUGGUCCGCCGCUCGGCUUGGGGUGUGGACUGUUGUCGGCCGCGCCGGCGGCCAAAGCCCGGGGGCCCUAGGUGCCCCCGGUGGCCGUCGUCGGCAUGGCCGGUACCCGCGCACCGAAAGGCGUGUCCCUCGGGGCACUGCGCUGCAACCGCCUGCGGGCUCCCCAUCCGACCCGUCUUGAAACACGGACCAAGGAGUCUGACAUGCGUGCGAGUCGACGGGUUCUGAAACCUGGGAUGCGCAAGGAAGCUGACGAGCGGGAGGCCCUCAUGGGCCGCACCGCUGGCCGACCCUGAUCUUCUGUGAAGGGUUCGAGUUGGAGAACGCCUGUCGGGACCCGAAAGAUGGUGAACUAUGCCUGAGCGGGGCGAAGCCAGAGGAAACUUUGGUGGAGGCUCGAAGCGAUACUGACGUGCAAAUCGUUCGUCUGACUUGGGUAUAGGGGCGAAAGACUAAUCGAACCAUCUAGUAGCUGGUUCCCUCCGAAGUUUCCCUCAGGAUAGCUGGAGCCCAUUACGAGUUCUAUCAGGUAAAGCCAAUGAUUAGAGGCAU